rnacentral:rRNA from 1 species
UUCCGGUUGAUCCUGCCGGAGGCCACUGCUAUCGGGGUUUGACUAAGCCAUGCGAGUCGAGAGGUGUAAGACCUCGGCGUACUGCUCAGUAACACGUGGACAAUCUGCCCUGAAGUGGAGGAUAAUCCCGGGAAACUGGGGGUAAUACUCCAUAGUUCGUGCUGACUGGAAUGUUAUGCGAACGAAAGAUCCGUCGCUUCAGGAUGAGUCUGCGGCCGAUUAGGUAGUUGUUGGGGUAACGGCCCAACAAGCCUGUCAUCGGUACGGGUUGUGGGAGCAAGAGCCCGGAGAUGGAUUCUGAGACACGAAUCCAGGCCCUACGGGGCGCAGCAGGCGCGAAAACCUUACCAUGCGGGCAACCGUGAUAAGGAAACCCCGAGUGCCAGCACAGGCUGGCUGUCCGCCAGUGUAAAUAACUGGUGAAGAAAGGGCCGGGCAAGACCGGUGCCAGCCGCCGCGGUAAUACCGGCGGCUCGAGUGGUGGCCACUAUUACUGGGCUUAAAGGGUCCGUAGCUUGAUAUGCAAGUCUCUUGAGAAAUCCGCCAGCUUAACUGGUGGGCGUUCAGGGGAAACUGCAUUUCUAGGGACCGGGAGAGGUGAGAGGUACUGCCGGGGUAGGAGUGAAAUCCUGUAAUCCCGGUGGGACCACCUAUGGCGAAGGCAUCUCACCAGAACGGGUCCGACAGUGAGGGACGAAAGCUGGGGGAGCAAACCGGAUUAGAUACCCGGGUAGUCCCAGCUGUAAACGAUGCGCGUUAGGUGUGUCAGUGACCACGUGUCACUGAGGUGCCGAAAGGGAAACCGUGAAACGCGCCGCCUGGGGAGUACGGUCGCAAGGCUGAAACUUAAAGGAAUUGGCGGGGGAGCACCACAACGGGUGGAGCCUGCGGUUUAAUCGGACUCAACGCC